rnacentral:rRNA from 1 species
UGCCAGUAGUCAUAUGCUUGUCUCAAAGAUUAAGCCAUGCAUGUCCAAGUAUAAGCAAUAUACCGUGAAACUGCGAAUGGCUCAUUAAAUCAGUUAUCGUUUAUUUGAUAGUACCUUUUACCUGGAUAACCGUGGUAAUUCUAGAGCUAAUACAUGCUAAGAAUCCCGACUUCGGAAGGGAUGUAUUUAUUAGAUUAAAAACCAAUGCCCUCCGGGGCUCACUGGUGAUUCAUAAUAACUCAACGAAUCGCACGGCCUUGAGCUGGCGAUGGUUCAUUCAAAUUUCUGCCCUAUCAACUUUCGAUGGUCAUAUAGAGAAUGAUCAUGGUGUCAACGGGUAACGGGGAAUUAGGGUUCGAUUCCGGAGAGGGAGCCUGAGAAACGGCUACCACAUCCAAGGAAGGCAGCAGGCGCGCAAAUUACCCAAUAGCAACACGCUGAGGUAGUGACAAUAAAUACUGAUCGGGGGCUCUUAUGGGCUUCCGAAUCGGAAUGAGUACAAUUUAAAUCCCUUAACGAGGAACAAUUGGAGGGCAAGUCUGGUGCCAGCAGCCGCGGUAAUUCCAGCUCCAAUAGCGUAUAUUAAAGUUGUUGCAGUUAAAAAGCUCGUAGUUGAACCUUGGGCCUGGCUGACCGGUCCGCCUAACCGCGUGUACUGGUUCGGCCGGGCCUUUCUUCUGGGGAGCCGCAUGUCCUUCGCUGGGCGUGCCGGGGAACCAGGACUUUUACUUUGAAAAAAUUAGAGUGUUCAAAGCAGGCCUAUGCUCGAAUACAUUAGCAUGGAAUAAUAGAAUAGGACGUCGCGUUCUCAUUUUGUUGGUUUCCGAGGACGCCGUAAUGAUUAAUAGGGACAGUCGGGGGCAUCAGUAUUCAAUUGUCAGAGGUGAAAUUCUUGGAUUUAUUGAAGACUAACUACUGCGAAAGCAUUUGCCAAGUAUGUUUUCAUUAAUCAGUGAACGAAAGUUAGGGGAUCGAAGACGAUCAGAUACCGUCGUAGUCUUAACCAUAAACUAUGCCGACUAGGGAUCGGUUGAUGUUUCUUAUUGACUCAAUCGGCACCUUACGAGAAAUCAAAGUUCGGUUCUGGGGGGAGUAUGGUCGCAAGGCUGAAACUUAAAGAAAUUGACGGAAAGGCACCACCAGGAGUGGAGCCUGCGGCUUAAUUUGACUCAACACGGGGAAACUCACCAGGUCCAGACACAGUAAGGAUUGACAGAUUGAGAGCUCUUUCUUGAUCCUGUGGUUGGUGGUGCAUGGCCGUUCUUAGUUGGUGGAGUGAUUUGUCUGCUUAAUUGCGAUAACGAACGAGACCUUAACCUGCUAAAUAGCCAGGCCAGCCUUGGCUGGUCGCCGGCUUCUUAGAGGGACUAUCGGCUCAAGCCGAUGGAAGUUUGAGGCAAUAACAGGUCUGUGAUGCCCUUAGAUGUUCUGGGCCGCACGCGCGCUACACUGACGGAGCCAACGAGUAAAUCAUCCUUGGCCGAAAGGCCCGGGCAAUCUUGUUAAACUCCGUCGUGCUGGGGAUAGAGCAUUGCAAUUAUUGCUCUUCAACGAGGAAUGCCUAGUAAGCGCAAAUCAUCAGUUUGCGUUGAUUACGUCCCUGCCCUUUGUACACACCGCCCGUCGCUACUACCGAUUGAAUGGUUAAGUGAGGCUUUCGGACUGGCCCCGAGAGGUCGGCAACGACCAUUCAGGGCCGGAAAGUUCGUCAAACUUGAUCAUUUAGAGGAAGUAAAAGUCGUAAC